rnacentral:lncRNA from 1 species
GGGCAAUUACACACAAUUCCCUGAUUUAUUUAAGUGCAAUAAACCAAAUAUAGUCAAGAAAUAACGACUCAUCAAAAUAGACCACACUUAGUCUUUUGCACUCCUGGGCAAAAUCAAGACGCAAAACAGGGAACAGUUCCGUAGACAUCAGGAAAUUGACACAACCUCAGCACACAGAAAACAAAGACUCAUAAGGUAAGAAAUAGAGUGACACAAUUCAAGAAAUCUGGACAAAGAUAAGAAGUAAACAAUAUCCACA